GGCUCGAUGGUCUAGGGGUAUGAUUCUCGCUUUGGGUGCGAGAGGUCCCGGGUUCAAAUCCCGGUCGUCGAGCCC